rnacentral:lncRNA from 10 species
AGUCACUCCUCUGUGGUCUGAGGCUCCCACAGGCCUUCUCUCUUUGGCAAGAGGCUGGUCCCCUGUCCGUGACUGUCAGCAAGCAUGCAACAGAGCACCCCUGCUGUGCCACAUGUUGCCCUGGGCACUUCAGGGAGGCUAGCAAGGUGGGGAGGGAAGCUACUGAGGGGGGAACAGUCCUACCCUUAGGGAGUCAGAGCUUAUGGGGAGGCAUGGUCCCUGUCCUUUCAGAGCACACAUAUAUAUUCACAGACAGUUUCUAGGGCCACCUGUCGACUGGCUUACUCAGUGACCUCGGCCAAGCCACUUGACCUCUCUAAGCCUUUAUCUCUUUAUGCACAAAACAGGGAAAGUAGUACUAUUUCAUCAGAUGGUUAUGGGAAAGAAAUGAGAGUGCCAGUGAAGUGCUUAGCACUGUACCCAGCAUUCUACAAAGCACUCAAUAAAGAGCCGCGUAUGGUUAUUGCUGAUGAGUAGACCCUGGCCACACAUCUCUGGACUACCUGAAGGUAAAUCAGAGGGAGCUCCUGCUACUCCCCCAACACAUGUGCCACCCACCUCACCUGCAGGGCAGCCAUGGGAGGCCACCAUGCACACAACCAGCCCCAUCGCCCACCACCAGAACUUGAAAUAGAAAGCUUCAACUGUGCAGACAUAGAUGAGGACAGAACAAGAGAUUUGACAGGUCAGCCAAAGAGGUGGGUCAGCACAGGUGGUGAGGACCAAGGAGGCCGGGAGGCAGGCAUUUCGAGAGUAUCCCGGAGAGAUGCUCAGGCCUCCCAGGUGCGCAGCAGGUAUCUCCGGGCUUCUCCUAACUCCCUUGCUCCAGGACUGUGCUGGCCAAGCACCUUCUGAUGACAGUUUGGACUUCUGGGUAGAAUUCCCUACUGGAGAACAGGUGCUGAUGGGUGAACACAGCCCACUGGGUAGCUGGAUCCUCACCGUGAGCGACUGAAUCAGCACUCUGAUAUUUACACUUGGGCUGCAGUGUGAGUCACCCCUCAACUCAGCCACCUCCAAGGCUCCUAACCAACUUGGAUUUCUAGGCCUACAAAGUGGAAAACUGGCCCCUGGAAUGUGAUGACUACAGGGAGGAAAUACCCUCUAGGGAACCCCCCACAAGAGGAACCUUCCCCAAGGGGAGCCCCAGAAUGCACCUAGGGCCAUUUUCCAUACUGACCUCUGCUACACGCUAUAGCCAGCCCAGCUAAGGCCACUCGCCCUGGGCUGGCCCUAAUGCAAUGCCCUUCAGACUGUGGAUCAAGACCCAUAAGUGGGUCAUGGAGUCACUUUAGUAGGUGGGGUGAGCAUUCUUUAAAAAGUCCACAGAAUACAAUAACAGAGGGCAAGGCAUGGUGACUCACGCCUAUAAUCCCAGAACUUCGGGAAGUUGAGGUGAGUGGAUCUCCUUAGGUCAAGAGUUCAAGACCAGCCUGGCCAACAUGGUGAAACCCCGUCUCUACUAAAAAUACAAAAAUUAGCUGGGCAUGGUAACGGGCGCCUGUAAUCCCAGCUACUCAGGAGGCUGAGGCAGGAGAAUCACUUGAACCCUGGGAGGCAGAGGUUGCAGUGACCUGAGAUCACGCCAUUGCACUCAAACCUGGGCAACAAAAAUGAAACUGUCUCAAAAAAGAAAAAAGAAUAACAUAUUAGAGUGUCUCACAGACGAGUAAGGGUGAGUAUUACUUCAUGAAUCAUUGGUGUGUAUAUAUAUACAUAUAUGUGUAUAUGUAUGUGUGUUGUAUGGGUGUAUGUACACACACAUAAUACAUGGAUAAACUUGAGCCAAUGCCCCUGAAAUAGAAAAACAGCACAUUCUAAUUGAAUAAUUUCUCGGAGCAUUUGAUAGAGGCUGUUUACAAAGAUGGGACAGGGUGUGGGUAAAUCAUAAGGGACAGUGGGGCUCACUUAUCACCUUUAGGCUUGAAGGCUUGAAGGAGGAAAGUGUUUUCAGAACUUGGAGACAGAGAAUGAUGUGGAAAGAGCGGGGAUCAUCAGGUGAGGGACCAGCUAGCCUGUGGCAACCCCACUGGGGAGUAAGUACUUCCCCCUUCUCCCUGUCUCUGCAGUCCUGCCAGGCCUGCCCUGCCGCUGAACCCAAGGGAAACUGAGAGCAGGGGAGCCAGGGAGGAGGCCGUUCAGUGGAAACAUCCAGUAUAUAAUGUGUGCACGGGAUGCAAAGUAAAGUACAAGUGUUUUUCACUAUGGGUUUCAGUUAAUGACUUUUUUUGUUGUU